GACGAACGCUGGCGGCGUGCUUAACACAUGCAAGUCGAACGGAAAGCCGCUGCUUCUCUGGCUUGCUCGGGUGGCGAACUGGGGAAUGACACGUGAGCAUCCUGCCCUUUCCUGUGUAAUAACUUGAGACAACUGGUGCUAAUACCUGAUAGCAGCUGCUGCUACAUGGAGGGGGUUGGAAAGUAUCGGCGCUGGGGGAGCGCCUCGCGUCUUAUCAGCUUGUUGGGGGGGUAGUGGCCUACCAAGGCGUUGGCGGGUAGCCGUCCGGAGAGGGUGGACGGCCACAAGGGGACUGAGAUACGGCCCUUACUCCUAGGGGAGGCAGCAGUGGGGAAUAUUGGACAAUGGGGGCAGCCCUGAGCCAGCAAGUCGGUGUGGACAAUGAAGGUUUUCGGAUUGAAAAGGGCUUUCAGCAGGGAAGAAAAAAAUGACGGUACCUGCAGAAGAAGCGACGGCUAAAUACGUG
rnacentral:rRNA from 1 species